GGAUGCGAUCAUACCAGCACUAAAGCACCGGAUCCUAUCAGAACUCCAAAGUUAAGCGUGCUUUGGCGAGAGUACUACUAGGAUGGGUGACCUCAUAUCAUCCUCGUGUUGCAUUCC
rnacentral:rRNA from 16 species